rnacentral:rRNA from 1 species
CAGUCGCCACGGGAAUACAGAGGGUGCGAGCGUUAAUCGGAUUUACUGGGCGUAAAGCGUGCGUAGGCGGCUUCUUAAGUCGGAUGUGAAAUCCCUGAGCUUAACUUAGGAAUUGCAUUCGAUACUGGGAAGCUAGAGUAUGGGAGAGGAUGGUAGAAUUCCAGGUGUAGCGGUGAAAUGCGUAGAGAUCUGGAGGAAUACCGAUGGCGAAGGCAGCCAUCUGGCCUAAUACUGACGCUGAGGUACGAAAGCAUGGGGAGCAAACAGGAUUAGAUACCCCCGUAGUCCCUGUCUCUUUACA